AUUCCAUGGUGGGGACAUUUUCUCAACAGCUCAUUGAACCUCUCCCAUGCAUCAUACAGCGACUCACCAUCUUUUUUGGUGAAAAUUGUUGAUUUCACCUCUAUACCU